GAUGCCAGGUGCGAGGAAGAAGGAAAGUCUGUUCCUACACAAGGCCUGGGCCUACUAGCUAGGGAGAACCAGAGCUAGCUCCUGUAAGGGAGAAGCCCUGAGUUAUGGCUUAGAGGAAGAUCCCCUUCCCUAGUGCCUCGACCAUCUUCCUUUGGGGGACAGUAGGGGAUGCUUGUUGUCAGGUCUGGGAGGCCAGCUUUUGGGUGCUUUUAAAGAGGCCCAGCAGUUUGGGGCUGGAAAGCUGAAUUACAGGAGGAGAGCUGUGGGGUGGUGUUCCAAGGGGGAAACAGAAGAGGCCAAUGCAAGCAGGGUAGGCUUCUGGGGAACCCUGAGUUAGGCCUUCAGGGAACAGAAAAAAAGGCCAGCAGGGGCAGAGCACUGGUUUGUUGUAUUUGGACUCCCAGCAAGGGAAAAGCCAGGGGAGCUGACACUGCGACAAGAGUGAGAAAGAACUGAGCUGAGCCCAGGAAGGGUGAAGGAACUCUAAUUUGUCAACUGGGACUCUCAGUACUCAUAAGGGGUUUGAACUGUGGGCUUGGCUGGAUGGCUGAGCCAUGGAAGAUCCAGCAAGAGGCAGGCAGCCUGCUGGAGAUACUGGAACUGAGGAUACUGGUGACAUUAGGCAAUGAGGCAAGGGGGCACUCCAAGGAUGAGUGUGCCCUAUAACAGUCUGAGUCAAAGCCCACUGACAUGAAUGGAAGCCUUUCCUUGGACUUCAGAUCAGACCCAGUAUCGCAGAACCCAACAGGAGGGGAAAAAAACAAACUUUCAAUGCUGUUGUAAGGCCAGUUUUAAAUCAGCAUUUAGUUAAUAUAACUCUGACCCUAGGAGCACCCCAGUGCCAGAUGGUAUGGAGCAAUGAAUUUCAGCUGACCUGGCCAGUUCAGUCCACCUCACACUAAAUCUAGUGGGGGCAUUUAAUGUCCUCAGAAAACUAAUAACUCACUGGUCAUUAAUAUUAUGAUGUAUGUACAAUUAACCUGCAAAGAAUUAUACUAAAUGUGCUGGAAAUAGGUAACUAAAAAUGUCUACACCAGGCAUAUCAGGAGAAAUUGAUAAAUAGGUUUUUCCAGACAAAGGAAAGGGGCUGACACCUCAAGCCAAGUGUGGCAAGGGAAAAUGGGCUAGCCAUUUGUAUCGUAGACUGCAAGAUCAUGUGCAUUGUAAAAGUCACAAGUGGGGGAGGAGCCAGCAGGGGAAAGGAACUUUAUCUGGGGAUACACUUAAGGAUUAUACAUUUUAAAUGUUUACUGGACUAUAAAAAGGGGGAAGGGAAGAGGAGAUCCCUUAAGUUAUCCUUCACCACAGGAGUCAAAGAAAUCCAAGCACUUCAGGCUACGUAAUUGAUCCUCAGCCAGGACUAGCCAGCCAUGCUGGAAGAAUGACUAUGGACUGUUGGAAAAAAGUCAGAUGUGAAGAAGGCUGGAUGGAGUACAAAAUAUAGGGAGACAUUCCAGGUGUAGAGUGCUGAAUGGGAGAUGGUACAAAAGUCCUUCUAAGAGAAAAGAACUACCAUGCCUGCAGACGCUCCAAGAGCUUUCUAGGUGUUGGAACCAAGAAGGAGCCAUGCCUCAAAGCGAAGAAACCCUACACCCCAGCCUGGGGAAUAUCCUCUGCUCUCUGAGAGGAGGUACAGAGUGGCUGGGAGAGGGAUCAAUGAGCACACUGGAAGCUAUGACAGCAGGACAGUAGGGGAAAAGGAGGAAUGGCAGAGAGAUGGUCCCUAUUCCAAGGGAGGGAGGAGAGCAUCGCCCAGAAAACGUUAUCCUAUUCCUGCUCUGGAGCAGUAGCGUGGGCAUUUCUUGUUCAGGUGCGGCAGAACAUUGUCAACCAGUGGCCAAAUGUCAACCAAUGGCUGUAGCAGUUGGAGGAAGUGGUCUAUUGACACCUCAACCCACACAUCAAAAUUGGUGCUUGGAUGUAGGCUGCUAGGAUGAGACAGAUUGUGGGCCAGAUGGUUUACACCUUAAAAAUUUGUUUUUCUUCCUCUGUGGCUUGCAGUAAUAUUGAGUUAAGUAUUGGGAGAUGCAUGGUUUGUUCUGGGGCUGCAGACUACACUUCCUCUUUAGUCCUGGCAUGUAGAUGCCCAUGAACAGAGAGUAGUCUAAGAAUCUUCAGGAUGUGAAGAGAGGCAUGAGUCUUUUCCACUAAGAGCUUAGUGCAUUCAAAGGGAAGGUCUCCAACGGUUGACUGUACCUCCUUUGGGAAUCCCUACAGAUGGAAUCAUGACACCCAUGGCAUCACAACCACCCUGGAGAAGGACUUGGCCACUGUGUUGGUUGCGUUGAGGACAGAUUGUAGUGUUGUCUUUCUACUAACUAUCCCUCCUGGAUAAUGCCCUUAAAUUGGUUGCAAUGUGACUCAGGCAGCUGCUCAA